GGUGGAAAUGACAGUCAUUAACUUCAGGAAUGCCUGCAGAAACUGAUGAGAACAAUUUCUUAUUACAGGGAAAUGGAGAAAUUGUGUCCUUUCCAGGUUUUCCCUCACCCCUCCCAUUUUCUUGCUGGAUGAAUGUCUGUCAUUCAGAAACUGUUCUGUGAAUGAACAUUGCUAUUUUCUGAGUCCUUUCAGCCAGAAAACGCACUCAACCUUCAGACCAGUUAUUCUGUGGAAUGUUUUACUUCAAGUGUUCUACUUCAGCCAGUAUAAAUUCACAGGAAGUGGGAAGAAAAUCAAAAAACAUGAACAUUUUCAUUCUCUCAAGCCUCCGAACUUCAGCUGGGUUUGUUCACAGAACUAAUUUAGGAAUGAUUUAAGUGCAUUUCAGGUCUUCAGACAGAAUUCACAUUUGUUAGAAUCGCAGGAGCUGGAGACUGUAAUUUUAUUCUUUUCCUAUAAGCUCAAGAUUUCAUUGGUAAAAGCUGUUUCUUCCUGUACUAUGCAAAUCUGUCCAGUUUGAAUAGCCUUGUCUCUCUGUGCCAUAUCUGCAGCCUCUCCCCAAAGCUCUAAUGCUGAUUCUUCUCCUUCCAAUGACAUUUUUCUCCUGGGGCACUUCCCUGUUCAUGAGAGUGGUCAGAACACCAACAUUAGCUUGGAACUUCCUGAUGAAAAGAUGUUUUCUGGGAUGAUUGCCCCAGUGGGAUCCAUAAUUCACAUGUGACUUUUCAUCUGAUGAGGAGUGAAACCAUUCUGUCCCUCCUGUCCCAGCUGAGCCCUGUGUGAUCCAUCAUGGGUACCAGAGGGAUCAUUUUCAGUCUAAUUCCCAGUAUUUUCUGGCUGUACAAGCAGACAGAGCAGCAAGGCACCUGGAAAUGGAACUCAGAGGCAAAAAUCAGAAACCUGCAGCACUGGGGCAUGCAGGGAUACAACCAACACUUGUUUGCAUCAGCAUCUCAGUCAUAUCAUAGGUCUGAGUACCUUCAAUUUUGCCUUCCAUCCUUCUCUGACCCACAUACCCUCUGUUUGUUAGGGGAUCAUCUUUUGGCCACAUGGCUUCUUCUUUGUUUCCCUUGCAUGACCUCCAGAGGGAUCUGCCGUAGGGAUUCUUAUCUUCAGCCCAUAAUCUCUUUAAAAUCUUUCCCAGAGCAUGGCACUCCAUUCAAAAGGACCUAAUGGCUGUAUUAGGUUAGUUGGCUUUGUUAUUUUUAUAUGGUUAUUUAUCAACUUCAGGCAAGAUUUUCAAAAACAUUGUGGGGACAAAAAUUCAAAAACCCUCAUAAAAAUUAGAUGUUCUGUUGUAAGCAGAUCAAAUUCUGCCUAUAAGAUAUGUCUAUAAAAAUGAAUUUUAAUUGGAUGUCAAAGACAUGAACAACUCUAUUUCAACUGUAAUUCUGUAAUUGCAAAUUAUUAUAUCACUUCUAUUCUAGAUAAGGAUCUUCAGAAUUACCUGAAUUUGUAUCUACAGCCAGGUAAGGGUCAAGUUCAUUUGAGAUCAUGAAUAAUGAUGAUUUUUAGCUUUAUCAGGACUUGGAAAUCAGGUCAAUAUUUAAAUAUUGUAGGGAAGGCUGUCCCAUAUGACUGGAUUCCACAAUCAUAUCUCUAUGAGAUUCUUGUUAGAUUUUUAUGCAAGAUAGUGCUCUUUCUCAAGAAUAUUUAUGUCUAUAUCUAAUUAUGUCUAAAUUGGGCUAAAGCUGUAACAACCUUUGCCAACUGAGUCCCCUUGCAAUGGAGGGAAAUUCCACUUCUGGCAGGCAGUCAUUGGAGUGCUUUAGCCUGCCUGGACAUAACUAUACUGGCAGAGAGCUCAUCCUUGUUGCUGUACUAAGCUUGGAAAGAUGAGCCAAGAAAAACAAUAAAAAUCAAAUGUGGAUGUUCGUUGAUACUGCUAUUGUGACUGGACAGUUCAACAAGUCAAAAUAUUCCGUAACUUCUAAACAGAAUUUCAGGUAGCUGCUAGGUUGAUCAGCCAAUCCAAUUGUGGCAAAAUAUCCUAAUCCAGAGAAUAUUGCCAAAUGCUCUUUGGACACUGAUCAUAGUCCAUGCAAUUGUUCUGAAAUUUUUGUUCAACGAGAACUGACAUAUAGUUAUUAAAAACAAUCAAACAUCUCCCAGACAACAAGCAGAACAGGGGCAUCAUUCGUUUUUGACACCACAGAAUAAUCAAACACAGUCCUAAAGAACUGUGUCUCUCUCAGACUGUGCUGAAAUAUGUGUUUUCUUUGCUGUGCCAAUGUUUUUAGAACAUUUUCACGGGGCACAGACUUGUGUCAGUGGAUGUGGGUACCACAGAACCUGUGACUCCUGGUGAGCAUCUUUUGAAGACAGGUUUGCAAAUGAAAAUUCUGAGGGCUUAUACAGGGAAAUAGAGCACAGGAAUUACAUUAUUUUUGCACUAGAAUUAUGAAACAAUGACAGGAGCACACACUGCCGUGUCACAGUAAUGAUACACGUGCAAAUUAAAAGAUACAGCAUGUUCAGCUUUAUUGGGAUCCUCACCUUUCAUUUUUUUUAGAGCAGGUGAAAAAAAUAAGAGGUUUGGAGUAGUUUGUUCCAGUAAAGCAAUUCUCUGCUUCAUCAAACCAUAUUAAUGAAAGUUUAAAAACCCUUACAUCUCUUCAAUAAAUAAGCAAGGGGUGUGUAUAUAAUGGUACAGUAAUAAAAAUGCUAAUUAUUUAAUAUUGGGAAAGAAUAGAUCUGCUCACAGUAGCCCCAUGUUAAUUAGUAGACUUUAUUUCCUCAAUGCAGUUUUAUUUUAAUGAAUAACACUCUGCUGUUUCAACAGAGAAGGCUUCCUUUUUUGGAUUUCAUAACUCUCCAGGGCACACUAGACAGCGAAUCAUUUAUGCCCAACAUGCAAACAUUGAAAAAGCAGGAGGCUCAUUCAAGUUAUUUUGGUAUCUUCUCUUUGAUUGAUGUGGAGUAAUUUCAGCAAAAUUUCCUAUAGGAAGAGCUCAAAACUUUUCUACACAUUGCCUGCUAAAUUAGACUUACUCUGGGAAAACAUCUAUGUCAUGCUCAGUAUUACAGUGCAAUAUUAAUUUGGUUUGGGAAACUAUAUAAGAGAUUUUAUGACUAAGAAUGUCUGAAGAAAAGAAAGGAAAGUCAUUAUGGCAGUUGGUAUGUAUUCUCUAAGGUUUUGGUUACACAUUAGUAAAGCUGGAUAAUACCAUUGUUAUGAAGAUAUUUUUGCCAACCUUCUGGGUAAAUUAAAGCUAAAAACACUUUCCUAUAUUA